CGCCGAUUAAGUUUAAUCCAUUAUAAAAGCGUCAGCAUUCACCAUUUUAACAAUAGUGAAGAGGAGCGACACCGAUUAAGGAUCUCUCUAUUUGGACGUGAUUCUGACAUUUACAUAGAGUUGUAAAACGUUCUGAAUACGUCGAUUGUGGGAUACUCAAACCAACACUGUUUAUGCGGCUAAUCUCAGAUCUAUGAUUGUCGUGAAAAAAAUUUGUUCAUUGGAAUAUCAUCAAAAGUGUGAUCUACGAAUUGCUCUUUUUGAUGACAUCUAGCAUAAUCUUCAACGACCGUGAUUUCCUUGAUUAAGGACAAGAUUAUUGGCUUCUUGUUUUAAAA